rnacentral:rRNA from 1 species
CACAGGCGCCGCUCCCUCGCGCUCGUCUACAAGCUCGACUUCGCCAAGGCUUUCGAUUCAGUAGACUGGGGUGCGCUGCGCCGAACCCUCGAGGUGCGAGGGUUCCCUGACCAAUGGUGCUCUUGGCUGGAUUCGAUCUUCCGGUCCUCCCGAUCGGCGGUGCUCCUAAACGGCGUGCCUGGGAAAUGGUUCACGGUGCGCCGGGGGCUGCGACAGGAGGACCCGUGCUCGCCCUACCUCUUCCUCAUCGUCGCCGACGUGCUGCAGCAGAUGAUCCGGCAAGACGGCGGGCUCUUCCAUCCUCUUGUGGACGGAGAACCACCUCUCGUGCUGCAGUAUGCGGAUGAUACGCUGGUUAUUCUCAAGGCGGAUGCCGGAGCGGCUUCCCGUCUGCGACAGAUCCUCGACGACUUCGCGGCUGCCACGGGACUCACCAUCAACUUCUCCAAAAGCACGCUCGUGCCCAUGCAUGUUCCGGCGGACGUGCUGGACAUAACAGUCGGCGCCCUCGGCUGCGAUGUUCAAGGGUUCCCGCAGGCCUACCUCGGGCUCCCUCUCUCCUGGGAGAAACUCUGCUUCGCGGAUUUCCUCCCCAUGAUCGCCAAAGUCGACAAGUACUUGUGGGGUGGCGUGCGCGCCUUCUCUCCCCUGCCGGGCGGCUCGUCCUCAUCAAUGCCGUCUUGGAUGCUCUUCCCACGUACGCUAUGGCGGCUAUGUUGCUCCCUCCGGCGGUGA